UCUCUAGUACAGUUUUUUAGUAUGUUAUUAUUAUAGAUGGAUAUAGGAAAACGAAUAUCUUAGUAUUUCGCGUCAAGCCCUGUUCGUCUCCGGGAGUUGAACGUUUUUUUUAAAUCUUCUGUAUGUAUAUCACCCGAGGACAAAGCAAAAAAAAAAAAAUCCUUGUUCAGAAGAAGAUUCACCCGAGUACUGUUUUCAGGCUGUUUGGAUCUGUGGGAAAUUUCCCUAGAAGGAUUUGAAACUCUUAGGCCUCCUUUGGUUCAUAGGAUAGAAAUAGUAAAAUCAUUUAAAUAUAAAGAAAAAAAUGUCAUUGGAUGCAUAAGAUAGGAAUUUUUUCCUGGGAAAUGUGAAGGACUGAUUUCUAUCCUUCAUAGGAAUAGGAAUCCAUUCCUACAAGCCAAAUGGCUUCAAAGGAAUUUUUCCUAUAAAGUUCCUAUCUUUUACAAUUCCUACAAUAUUUUUAUGAACCAAAGGAGGCCUUAAGGUUUUUUCCCAAGCAUUCAUGUAGUCUAUUAUUUUUUGUAGAAAAAUAAUUCUCAAACCUCCAUUUGCAAUUCCUUUACUUAUUUUGUGGUGUGAAACACUCUUUGAUGAGUUUUUUUUUGCCAACACCUCUUAGUACCACUUAUGUAGGUCGUACUACAAGAGACAACAAUCCAAAGUACAUUUUAUUAAGCGUUUUGGUCUCAGCAAUUAUCCCCUGAUAGCAUUCGAGUCAUACUUUUGGUUGUGAUUCUCGUUGCUUUGAUUCGAUUUGACUCUUUUUGUAAGCCUAAGAACAUUAAGUAAGAACGUGUUGCUUUGAUUUGUCUUUUUUUUUUCUAUUAAUUUUGUGUGUGCUUCUAUUAGGAUGAUUUUUGAUUUUUUUUAAUCAAGUGAACCAAACACAUAAUAGGUUGACAAAAUUGAUGCGUGUAAUAACCGUUCUGCAGGCCUUGUUCAGACGAGGUUUAUUUGUUUUGUAAGUAUGUGCUCAUCUUUUGGGGAUGUGCGCACAUAGAGGUAGGGUCAUCAUUUUGGUACCAGCCAUGUCCACUCGAAAUGAAUUAAUGGAGGCUGUCCACUCGUUUUCUCUCUUAGAUUAGAUCCAUAGAGAUUUUUUUUUUGGAAUAUCCUUGCUGUACGUGCACUUACGCAUGCAUGCUCUUCAGGUAAGGACCUUGGAUUCCUUGGCAUGUUGCUCUCUACCAGCAUAGUUCAGCCAUGUAGACCCACUCACACACCACCACUCGGUUGGGUUGGAUUUGCUUGCUCUCUUUUUCUCCUACUCACAGUUUUCUUUCCAAUAAUAUUUAUGUUUUUUUACCUUGGUACCUUUUCCGUGUUGUUUUGAUUUGACAAGACUGUGUGCUGAUACUCUUGUGUAUGUACUGAACUUUUCCGAACAAUUGAGGUUACAACACUCAUCUUGGAGAAGAUAUGCUUGUGAAGCUAGUGAUUAGUUAGCAUUUGUGUUGGUUAAUGGAAGGGCAGAUGCUUGCAUGCUAGUAGUAAGAGGAGAGUGUAUGGCCUUUGAUUUUGAUUUUUAUAUUCUAGUGAAAAAAAGAACAUAAUUUACCAAAAUUUAUGUGUCUUCAGAUUUUGCAGGCUAUCAUGUUCGUGUAAUUUUAUCAGUAUUUCUUUUAUUGUUUGUAACCUUUUGCGCCUAGUUUUUUGUGGUAUGUGGUAUGUGCUAAGAUAAGAUUAAAUAUCCAUGUUAUACAUAUGUCUAAGAUACCCGAGGUAGGUGUUUAGUUUUAAAUAAUAUUAUUGUGUUUGUAUCAAGAUCUCAAGUUCCUUAACUCAUUGAACCAAACACGUAUGUUCCAAAAAUUAAUGUGUACUUUUCAUUCUGCAAGCGCGUUUCUUCAUAUUCAUAAGCAUUUUUUCUCCUCCGAAUCCUACAAAUCAAGUCGUCCCUUUGCUUGCGAGGUAGUAGUAAAUUUUUGUAAUGUUGCGAAUACUGCUUUUUUCAAGUCUCUGCUCAUCUCACUUUAAAAAAAAGAGUCUGUGCUAAUCUUUUGGGAAUGCGCAAUGGAGUGUGUACCCGUGGUCAUAGGGUCUGGUACCAGUCGUCCCUUGAUAGGCUGUCCAUGUUUUUACCCUUGAAAGUAAUAGAGGCAGGCUAUCCACCUCUCUAGAUACAUAGAUACAUAUGAAGAUUUCUUGUACAUUUCUGUUCUGAUAUGACCUUACUCUCUUUGCUUGUUCAGUUAUGUCCCACUACUCCGGCGAGAUGGAUUUGCUUGUGUUUUAGAGGCCGUAUGCUGCUGCAUUUGUUGCACACUUGUGAAGGCUUCCAACUCGGUUUUUUUCUGAUGCAUAAGCAACUUCCUUGAUCCUGGUAUGAAGGUGUACAAAUCUUGCCCAUGAACCCAGUCUUCUUGAAGCAAGCCGGGCAUGCACAAUGCAUCUUGUUUGGUUGGUGCCUGAGUGGUAUUUGGACCAGCCUGACCUGAGCUGUCCACCGAAAUCAGAGGCCUGACUCAGGCAGAAGCAAUCAGUCUGCUCAUAAUUUAGGGAUGCACACAUGGAGCGGUUCACGUGUGUCCCUGCAGUGUUGCAGCUGGGGCGUCCCAAGGUCCAUAGCUAGGCCCACCAAAAGAAUGGAGCGUGUGCAUAGCAAUGUCCAGCAGCACAGGAUGAACUGCUAUGCAACACACCACUACACAAGGAACGGAGGGAGUAUGAUGCAUGACAGCUUUCUGCAGCAAUGCUUCAAGGAGAAUUGGCGUGUAAGGCGAGGGAUGGUUCAUAAUCUAGCACUCCUGUUGUCAGGCCAGGUUGAGGGAACAAGGAAGUAUCAUCAUCAUGAGUGUGCCAUGAGCAGCUACUCACCAGUGCUCCGAUUCUUAGGCCCUUGACCCUAAUCCCAAUGCUGGCGAGCUCAUUGCGUCUGUCUGAACCUGGCUUCAGAUCAAGACUGUAUAGGGGAUUUUUUUCUUUUAAAAUGGUUUUUUUUUAUGUUUGUAAAUCUUGUAAUUUUCAUUUUAUUUUUUGCACUCUGUACUUACGUAUGCUGAUGCACGUGUGAUUCCAUCUGGGGCAUCGGCACGGGUACCCUGCAGACGGGGCAAUUGGACUUGAGGUGUUCCCAUAGCUGUCUCGCCUGUUCUCUCUUGUCCAUGUAUGCAGCCUCUGCCCUGCAGAGAGAAUUUGUACGGUUACCAAGACGCACUGCAUUCAUUCAUCAGGAAACUUGAAUCCAUAUAUUAACGACAAAUACUUGACAUGACA